GAUGAACGCUAGCGGCAGGCUUAACACAUGCAAGUCGAGGGGCAGCACGGGUAGCAAUACUUGGUGGCGACCGGCGCAAGGGUGCGUAACGCGUGAGCAACAUGCCCGUAUCAGGGGGAUAAUCCAUGGAAACGUGGUCUAAUACCCCAUAGUAAGUUUUUGGGGCAUCUCAAAGAUUUUAAAGCUUUGGUGGAUACGGAUUGGCUCGCGUGACAUUAGCUAGAUGGUAAGGUAACGGCUUACCAUGGCUACGAUGUCUAGGGGUUCUGAGAGGAAGGUCCCCCACACUGGAACUGAGACACGGUCCAGACUCCUACGGGAGGCAGCAGUGAGGAAUAUUGGACAAUGGAUGGAAAUCUGAUCCAGCCAUGCCGCGUGCAGGAAGACGGCCCUAUGGGUUGUAAACUGCUUUUGUAUGGGAGCAAUAAGGGCUACGUGUAGUCCGAUGAGAGUACCAUACGAAUAAGCACCGGCUAACUCCGUG
rnacentral:rRNA from 1 species